rnacentral:rRNA from 1 species
AACGAACGCUGGCGGCAGGCUUAACACAUGCAAGUCGAACGGGCGUAGCAAUACGUCAGUGGCAGACGGGUGAGUAACACGUGGGAACCUUCCUAGGGGUACGGAACAACUCAGGGAAACUUGAGCUAAUACCGUAUACGUCCGUGAGGAGAAAGAUUUAUCGCCCUUAGACGGGCCCGCGUCGGAUUAGCUAGUUGGUGGGUAACGGCCUACCAAGGCGACGAUCCGUAGCUGAUCUGAGAGGAUGAUCAGCCACACUGGGACUGAGACACGGCCCAGACUCCUACGGGAGGCAGCAGUGGGGAAUCUUGGACAAUGGGCGCAAGCCUGAUCCAGCCAUGCCGCGUGAGUGAAGAAGGCC